GGCAAUUAUCGGGAGCCUCCUCCCAUCGUCGUCGCAACUGCUUGCCCAACGCUCCGCAGCCGCUCGCUGCUCCCCCGCGCCCAUGCCCAUGCGCUCGCUCGCCGCGGCGAUCGAGAUCCGCACUGCCGCCCGCACUUCUCUUCCUCGUUGCCGGCGUUUGUGAGCCCAGUGUACUCCCCAGUGUCUCUUCCUCCCCACCGGCGCCCGCGUGGCUGCCGCAUGCUUCUCCUGCGCGUGAACUCUCCGUGAUGCGGCCGUCGAGCUCGCCUGCGCCCACGUCUCCUGGCCUGCGCCUGCUCUGCCCGUGUGAUGCUGCUCGCCGGCAGGCGGGCGACCCCCGAUUCGAGCCUUCCACGGCGCUAGUGGGGUUGACAGUGGAGAGCACCCAAGAAUGUCAAAGCGGGUCAAGCGACUUGCAUUGGGGGACCCCUCACAACUAAUCAUCCCCUCGAGAACUUUGAUCUGAAAUUUCUUCAGUUCUGGGUCCUAACAAUUUGAUGACUUCGUUGCUUGGUGCAGCUUCAAUCCAGGAAUUUUGAUAUCGUGGAUGGAGGGGGAUAAAAUCGAGCACAAAAGGAAGCGGCAAUGCAAAUUGUUGAAGAAGAGAGCAAGACAUGACCGUGCCUCAAUUCGCGCCGCCAGGGCCUCAAUCCAUGACUGCAGAAGAAACAUGGGCGGCGUUGAGCUCAACCUCAUACGGGCUGAGGGAGAUCUCGAGCUUGGUGUUCGAGAGCUCAGUUUUGGCUGCAGUGAGUUCGAUGACAAGCCCAUCAAUUCCGAGGCUACCAUUGUAGUUCGUAGGCGGAACAAAGAAGAACGGUUGCACAGGCCACAGAUGAUGCUAUCUCCUGCCACUGACAGCAUUCUUGUGCACUGAGUAUUACAGCCGUAAGUUAAUUACAGGUGUAAACAAUCACAACGCAUCCAAACGUUGAAAAGAAAAUACUUCUGUAUCCUGUGCACAAUAAAUUUGUAGCGAAGAUGGCCCUAUUAAAUCAUAGUAUGUGAUUUUGGUAA